UAGCACCACCUGGUGCCACCUGCCCGGCGCUCUGCAAACAGCGAUAAGACCAGCCGAGGGGCGGGAAGGUCCCCUUGGCCCGGCCACCACUCACACGCUCCUCCUCGGGCAAAGCAGUCGAGUGUGUCCUGUGUGUGUUUCUGCAGUCGCUCUCCAGAGAGUCUCCCAAUGAUGGGGGCUCACCCUGGCAGGAUAACUUGCCCCCCACCCACCCUUCCUGGUUUGGCGUGCAUUCGGUUUUCUGUGAGAGCUGAGGAGAGAAAGGUUUGAGAAGAAGGAAAGGAAAGCAACGGCUUUGCUCCGGGUUUCGGAGCUGGAAUCGAACCCUCUUGCACCAGGGCAAGGGCGAAAAGCUUGCUGCCCCACUGAUGCCUAUGCUCGGGGGGGGGGAGGCAGU